rnacentral:rRNA from 1 species
UACGUAGGGGGCGAGCGUUUGUCCGGAUUUAUUGGGCGUAAAGAGCUCGUAGGCGGCUUGGCAAGUCGGGUGUGAAACCUCCAGGCUCAACCUGGAGACGCCACUCGAUACUGCUAUGGCUAGAGUCCGGUAGGGGACCACGGAAUUCCCGGUGUAGCGGUGAAAUGCGUAGAGAUCGGGAGGAAGGCCGGUGGCGAAGGCGGCGCUCUGGAACAUUUCUGACGCUGAGGCUCGAAAGCGUGGGGGAGCAAACAGGGAAGU